CCCAAAAUUUCCUAAAAUGAGAAAUAUGUUUGAUAUAGGAAAUAUGUAUAUGCAUCUAUUAUGCAUGAGGUGAUAGAUGACAACGCAGGUAUGUAUCAAAUACUUGAACAAUAAGUGGUUUAAGAAACCCCUGAGAGAAUAAUUUUUCAUUAAAUAUAAUAGACGUCCAGGCAUCAAAUAUAACAUCUACAACUUCUUUAUAUAAGCAUUCACUGACACAUAACUACAAUGAAUAAAAUAAUUUUAUUAGUAA